GUUUGAUAAUGAGCUCAAUGUUCGAUUGGAGAGGAUAAAUGUUGGUAAUUUUGAAAAUCAAAAGAAAGCGGCGCUGUUGUCAGUUUUGCGAGCUAAAGGAACCGUUUGUGUGCACGAAAAUUUGCGAGUUGAGCCGAAGCGUCUUGGAAUUUGCACGGGACGGGACAGUAUACUGCACUCUGUGAAACACACACUUACACACAUAGACGUGAAUACACAAACCGAAUUGACAGAUAGUGAUAAAAAUUUUCGUUGGCAAACUUUCCCCGCGGUUGCGAAUUCAUCGUCGUCAUAAAAAAUAAAUUGUGUGAAACAAUCGAUAACCCGAGCACACAUUAUCGAUUUCGUUACAAAUAUUACAAGAUUUUGAGCGAAAUUACUUUAUGAUUAUCGCCGCUGAGUCGAAAACAUUAUUAGCGAUUAAUGAAAAUCAGGAUUAGAGAAGGGAACUUCUCGUCCGAUCACCAACGCCAUAAACCGUUACCCUUAUUUCUUCGACGUUCCCGCCCGUCUGUUUGUGUAUGCGGGCUUGUAUGUGUGUGAGCAGCUCGAGCAGCGUUUGAACGAUCGUGUCCAGCACGUUUGUCAUCGAGGACGAGGGUCUACGUGCGCGCUGUGCGAACCACUCCCGUUUGUUAGGUUCUCCGCUCGUCCCUAUUUGAAACUUUUUAAUCAACAUGGCGGUCAACGUUUACGCGACCAAUGUGACAACGGAUAAUCUAAGUCGCCAUGACAUGCUGGCAUGGGUCAACGAUUGUCUGCAAUCGUCUUUCACCAAAAUCGAGGAACUCUGCACUGGAGCAGUCUAUUGUCAGUUCAUGGAUAUGUUGUUCCCUGGCAGUGUCCCCCUCAAACGUGUCAAGUUCAGGACAAAUCUCGAACACGAAUACAUACAGAAUUUCAAAAUUUUACAAGGCGGAUUCAAAAAAAUGAACGUCGAUAAGAUCGUACCGAUUGAUAGGCUCGUAAAAGGGCGAUUCCAAGACAACUUUGAAUUUUUGCAAUGGUUCAAGAAAUUUUUCGACGCUAACUACUCAGGAAGCGAGCCUUACGAUGCUCUCGCGAUGCGAAACGGUGAAGCAAUGGGAAGUGGUGGAAAUAAUGCUCCGCGGGGCGGAGGCAUGAUGAAACGACCCUCGCCACGUGAACCUCCCGCUCGGCCCGUUCCUCGUGCCGGUGAGGGUCCCGAAUCUCCUACCCACGCGCCUACAAUGAAGUCCGUAGGCAAAACUAUCAAUAAAAUUCAACCAAGUCGUCCGACGCCAAGAACAGGAGGAAUUGGAAACCGUGGUGACAAUGGAAAAGUCGAAGAGCUUAGCGCACAGGUAACGGAACUCAAGAUCGGAAUCGAUGGCCUGGAAAAGGAGAGAGAUUUCUAUUUCGGAAAAUUGCGAGACAUCGAAGUCAUGUGUCAAGACUGCGACAACGGCGAUCAGCCGCCAAUUGUACAAAAGAUAUUGGAGGUCCUUUACGCGACUGAGGAGAAUGGAAAUGGCGUGGAGGAAGAAGAACAGACCUUUUAACAUCUCUCCUUGGUUCAUAUCUUUCAUUUCCAUACAAGGUUCGAUCUAAUUAAGGAUGGUUUCGCCCCACCGGAAGAAUUGGAAGGCGACGGCCUCGCACCGGACGACGAAGAGCAAUAUUAACCUCUACACCGUUAUCCAUACAUUGUACAAUCAAAGUUUCAACAUCAAGAUCAUAUGGAGAAAUAUUAUUUCAAGUUGGUGUUCACUAAGUUCGUGGGCCAGUAUCCUUUUUCCCUUCACUCCUUUCCGUCCUUUAUCCUCGCAAUACAUUCUAAAUUAGUGUGCACGAUUGAAAAAAAAUCCUUGUCUUAUCGACCUCCGUAAAAAAAAAAAACAAAAAAACAUUACGAUCCGGAUUAGCGAAACGAGAAUUAUGAGAAAAAAAACAACUCUAAACAUUUUUCAAGCAUCCAAAAUUGUUCGAAAUUUUUAACAAAAUAUUUAUACUCAUUUCAUUUUAGUUCCAAUUCUAUUCCGUCUGUUCGAAUUUGUUCUAACAUGUCGAACAAAAUACGCAAAUCGCAAUAAAUCAAGUGUUACAUUUAUUAUUAUUAUUAUUUUUUAUAACCGAUUUAAAUAAAUAAUUGUAAUGUACGGCUUAUCGUAAUUGAAACUUUCAUUUUCGCGUUACGUUGAUUUAUAGACUACAGUUAACGUGAUCUUUCGUCAAGUCGAGAAAACUCGAACAUUCGCUUUUACAAGUCGACUUGUUUCGUUUUAAUUGCGUUAUAAUAAUGGAAAAAAGCGAACGAAAAAUUUGAAUUAAUCAGACGCUCGUCGCUCAUUUCUAUAAACUAUUUCCUCUUUCUGCGUCCCACGAAACUUUUUGAAAAACUAAAAAAAAAAAAAAUAAUUACAACUAAAUUAAGAAGAUCGUAGGGUUUCGAUCAAUUAAUACGACUGAUUCGAUUUGUUAAAUUCUUGGCCAGCGAAGUCUCACUGAAAUUAAUAUCGUGUUGAUUUUUACUCUUUUUUUUACCUACUGUUAUUUGACACAAUCCAUUUAAAGAUAUUAAAAAAAAAAAUACAAAAAAAACUAAAUCUACGUUAAUUGCUGAGUGUUCUCGAUGAUUGAUUGAUUUUAUUUCUAAUCGUAAAAUGUUCACCAAAAUAUUCACCUAAAAACGCGGUAUUGCGUGUUUCCCCACAUGAUUUUCGUGAUUCUGGUCAGUUUCUUUUCUGUUUUUUCGCUUUGCUCAAGUAAACUCAUUGAUUUAUUGAACGACCAGACCAUUGCGUCUCAUCACACUCGCUGAUGCACACAACACACAUACACAUUGAGCUGGGCUUUAAUCGUAAAAAUGAUUGAAACAACGAUAUUAAAAUAGAUAUUAUUCGAAUACGUGAUUUCUCCCAAUAUCGUCUUCGGAGUUCGUUAAAAUAUAGAGGAGAAGAACGUUCUCAAGCACAAACUUUUAUCUUGUUUUUUUUUUUUUUAUUUUCUCAUUGAAGGAAACGCGUUUGGUUCAGAAUAGUUUAACACAAUAAUUCGGAGGCGAAUGUUUUUUCAAAGAUUCGAACAUUGCGAUUACAAAUUUUCGAAAUGAAGUGAAAAAAUAUUUUUUCGGAACAAAGGUUCGAAAAAUAUUUCAUAACAUUGGGCGUUGUAAUUUGAAGUUUGUUUAAACGUUUCUUCGUUACAUUUUAAUGCAGCGUCAUGGCUAAAAUUAUUUUUCCAAAUUGAAAAAAGAAAUUCAGUCCGAAUCUUCGAUUUUCGAGUUUGUUGUUGUCGAUUAGAUUUGCCGUGUGAAUUUAUCGCCAUUCGAGAUUGCCCGAGAAAGUGAGGUCACCUCAAGUACGAAGAUACAACCCUGUUCCACUUAUUCCUGGAAUAAUGGUACGCCAAUACUUUCGCCUUUGAAGAGAAGACAAACGUUGAUGGAAAAAAUGGAGAAACAGAAAUAAACAUGAAAAGAGUUGAAAAAUUAGUGAUACUAUAUUAGAAAGAGCGAGUGCGUAGUAGAGCUGGUGAGAAAGUUUAACGAAUGAGAGAAUUGAGGGAGUGCUAACUUUGCAUUUGUCGAACUCUUUGUCUGUUUGUUGCUUUUUUUUCAUAAUGAUUAUCAAGCAGAGUGUUUAUCGAUGGGAAAAUCUUGUGUAAUAUCGUGAUUGGAGAAAUGGAGAAAAAUAAUGAAAAAAAAGUUCAAGAUUCAUGUCGAUUGAGUGAAAUCGUAACUGGAAAUAUAUUCCUGUCGACUUACAAUUUUUCUUACGUACUGUCAAAACCACCUUGCGAACUUUAUUUGAUUGAAAUUAUUUUUAUUGACUGAUAAGUAGCCGAGGAUUUAUCCUUUUCGUUCCUUUUCUUUUCACGAUGUAAUAAACUUUCGAUAAAGUCACAUCCGGUUGUUUGUUCCUCAAGAUACUUUUUGAUUUUACCUCAAAACGUCUUAGCCACUUGAAUUAACUUAGCGUUUCUCUUUGAAAAUUAACCUAACACUCGACUGCUAAAUUUUAUUUUGAAUUUUACACGGCAAAUAUGCAAAGUAUGUUUGUCUACGCUAAAAUAAAAAUAUGAUAGAAAAUAAUCUCUCAAUCUUGUGAGUACCACUGUGUAAUCGCUUGUAAAUGAAUAAAAAAAAUGUACAGCAAUCA